GAUGAACGCUAGCGGCAGGCUUAACACAUGCAAGUCGAGGGGUAGAAGCAGCUUGCUGCUUUGAGACCGGCGCACGGGUGCGUAACGCGUAUGCAAUCUACCUUUUACAGAGGGAUAGCCCAGAGAAAUUUGGAUUAAUACCUCAUAGUAUGUGAGAAUCGCAUGGUUUUCACAUUAAAGUUCCAACGGUAAAGAUGAGCAUGCGUCCCAUUAGCUAGAUGGUAAGGUAACGGCUUACCAUGGCGACGAUGGGUAGGGGUCCUGAGAGGGAGAUCCCCCACACUGGUACUGAGACACGGACCAGACUCCUACGGGAGGCAGCAGUGAGGAAUACUGGACAAUGGGCGCAAGCCUGAUCCAGCCAUGCCGCGUGCAGGAUGACGGUCCUAUGGAUUGUAAACUGCUUUUGUACAGGAAGAAACACUCCCUCGUGAGGGAGCUUGACGGUACUGUAAGAAUAAGGAUCGGCUAACUCCGUG
rnacentral:rRNA from 1 species